rnacentral:misc_RNA from 1 species
GCCAAAACUAACAAUUUAUUGAGUACUGAAUACAAACCAUACAACAUCUUGAUCAGAUAAUUAUGGCUUGAACACAUAAUGAAGAAAGAGACAUUGAAUUAGCUUUAGCAAAAGAAUCUGCAUUAUCACUAAAGCAGUUAUCUUCACACGGAAACUUUGAAUACUAAUCCUCAAAUAUAAUAGGCAGGCUUUUUGGAGGUUGAAAAAAUGUAAACCACUCUUAGUAGCAUAUUUCAUAAUCCAAGCCAACUCCAAUGUCUGUAAUUUGUAACAGAUAUUUUACAUAAUCAUGUCAGUCAUUGUGUCAAUCAGCUGCUUGAAAGUCCCCAAAAUCAUCAUCUUGGAUAUCCUGUGUGCUCUCAUUCAUGGAAGAAAUUUGCUCUUUUGGGUCUUCCAUUCUGGGGUUAGGAAACUCGUCUUUAGAAGUUCCAUCAAGUGACAUUUUUGGUGGCAGGUUUGAUGGAGAAUUUUGUACAGACGCAGCAGGUGAAAGUGGUCCUGGGGGUGGUGGGGGUGGUCUGAUACUGAGGAUGGGCUCUUUUCGGUUACCCUUCUCCUCUAUCGACAGAUUAUUUAGACCCUGCUCAAA